UACAGAGGUCCCGAGCGUUGUUCGGAUUCACUGGGCGUAAAGAGUGUGUAGGUGGUGUCGUAAGUUUGGUGUGAAAUCUCCCGGCUUAACUGGGAGGGUGCGCCGAAGACUGCGAUGCUGGAGUAUGGGAGAGGAAAGCGGAAUUCCUGGUGUAGCGGUGAAAUGCGUAGAUAUCAGGAGGAACACCUGCGGUGUAGACGGCUUUCUGGACCAUUACUGACACUGAGACACGAAAGCGUGGGUAGCAAACAGG
rnacentral:rRNA from 1 species